rnacentral:misc_RNA from 1 species
AACGCACGAGACCUGCGGACCUGCGGAAGGAUCAUUAAUGCAUUCAUCUUUAUGAUGCUACCCUUGUGCAAUGUGUGUGUUGCGCUGCUUGCCGGGUGCGUGUCGCUCAUGCGUAUACGCGCUCUGGCAUAGCCAACCAUCCCCUAUUAAACUAUCUCCUAGACUAACGCACAACCGCAAAAAUAUACAUACAACUUUCAACAAUGGAUCUCU